rnacentral:rRNA from 1 species
AAGCGUGCGCAGGCGGUUAUAUAAGACAGAUGUGAAAUACCCCGGGCUCAACCUGGGAACUGCAUUUGUGACUGUAUAGCUGGAGUGCGGCAGAGGGGGAUGGAAUUCCGCGUGUAGCAGUGAAAUGCGUAGAUAUGCGGAGGAACACCGAUGGCGAAGGCAAUCCCCUGGGCCUGCACUGACGCUCAUGCACGAAAGCGUGGGGAGCAAACAGGAUUAGAUACCCUAGU